GUGCCAGCAGCCGCGGUAAUACGUAGGUGGCAAGCGUUAUCCGGAAUUAUUGGGCGUAAAGCGCGCGUAGGCGGUUUUUUAAGUCUGAUGUGAAAGCCCACGGCUCAACCGUGGAGGGUCAUUGGAAACUGGAAAACUUGAGUGCAGAAGAGGAAAGUGGAAUUCCAUGUGUAGCGGUGAAAUGCGCAGAGAUAUGGAGGAACACCAGUGGCGAAGGCGACUUUCUGGUCUGUAACUGACGCUGAUGUGCGAAAGCGUGGGGA
rnacentral:rRNA from 1 species